UUAUGUGACUUAAAAUGUACUGGCAAGCGUGAGUGCACCCUGAAAAAUUAGUUACGACAUGUUUUUAAAAGCUAGUUUCAGUUCCUACUGUACCCUGACGUCACGACACGGUACGGGCUUCUUGUUACGUGCUCACGCAAGAUAUCGCGACAUUUCCACGGCUGCUCCACUGCAUGGCUCCAAUGGUGAUGCACAAAUUGCCAAUUUGCACGUUUUGGUGAAGUACA
rnacentral:lncRNA from 1 species